UAAAUACUCCCGAGAGACCGAUAGCGAACCAGUACCGUGAGGGAAAGGUGAAAAGAACCCCGAGCAGGGGAGUGAAAUAGACCCUGAACCCGUCUGCCUACAAGCGGUCGGAGCGUCGUAAUGACGUGACGGCGUGCCUUUUGCAUAAUGAACCUACGAGUUACCUUCCCCGGCAAGGUUAAGUACCUAAGGUACGGAGCCGAAGCGAAAGCGAGUCUGAACAGGGCGCCAAGUCGGGGGGGGUAGACGCGAAACCGAGUGAUCUACCCUUGGCCAGGUUGAAGGUUGGGUAACACCAACUGGAGGACCGGAUGGGUAAGCGUUGAAAAGCUUUCCAAUGAGCUGAGGGUAGGGGUGAAAGGCUAAUCAAACUCGGAGAUAGCUCGUACUCCCCGAAAUGCAUUUAGGUGCAGCCUCUUUAUAGUAUAUCGUGAGGUAGAGCGACUGAUUGGAUGCGAGGGCUUCACCGCCUAUCAAGUCCAGAUAAACUCCGAAUGCGUGCUAUAUAUUGAUAAGGAGUGAGGGCGCGGGUGCUAAGGUCCGCGUCCGAGAGGAGAAGAAUCCAGACCAUCAGCUAAGGUCCCCAAAUAACAGUUAAGUUGAACUAACGAAGUCGGACUGCAGAGACAGCUAGGAUGUUGGCUUGGAAGCAGCCAUUCAUUUAAAGAGUGCGUAACAGCUCACUAGUCGAGGAGUCCGGCGUGGAUAAUACUCGGGCAUAAACUGUUUACCGAAGCUAUGGAUGUAGAAAUACAUGGUAGGGGAGCAUUCCAACGGCGUCGAAGGUGAAGGAUGACCUUUGCUGGAGCUUUUGGAAACGCAAAUGUAGGUAUAAGUAACGAUAAAGGAGGUGAGAAACCUCCUCGCCGAAAGACUAAGGUUUCCUGAUCAACGUUAAUCGGAUCAGGGUAAGUCGGGACCUAAGGUUAAGCCGAACGGCGAUACCGAUGGAAGAAUGGUUUAAUAUUCCCAUACUACUUUAUGGAGCGAUGUGGAGACGGAGAAGUGAAAGUCCUGCCAUCUGACGGAAUAGGUGGUUGAAGAGUGUAGAUGUAGAUUCCUGUAGGCAAAUCCGCAGGGAGAGUCGACCUUGAUAGUAUGCCGCGUGCUUGCACAAGGCAAAAUGGACGUAAUCAGGCUCCCAAGAAAAUCCGCUAAGCAUAUUCAUAAAGUACCCGUACCGUAAACGGACACACGUAGUUGGGUUGAAAAUACUGAGGCGCUCGAGUGAUUCACGGUUAAGGAACUAGGCAAAUUGACCCUGUAACUUCGGGAUAAAGGGUCCCUACUGAGAGGUAGGGCGCAGAGAAUAGGUCCAGGCAACUGUUUAACAAAAACACAUGGCUGUGCGAAAUAGAAAUAUGAAGUAUACAGCCUGACACCUGCCCGGUGCUGGAAGGUUAAGAGGAGAGCUCAUCGCAAGAGAAGGCUUGAAUUGAAGCCCCAGUAAACGGCGGCCGUAACUAUAACGGUCCUAAGGUAGCGAAAUUCCUUGUCGGGUAAGUUCCGACCUGCACGAAUGGUGUAAUGAUCUGGACACUGUCUCAACCGUGAGCUCAGUGAAAUUGUAGUAUCGGUGAAGAUGCCGAUUACCCGCGAUGGGACGAAAAGACCCCGUGAACCUUUACUAUAGCUUUACAUUGAAUUUGGGCAAUCGAUGUGUAGGAUAGGCCGGAGACCGUGAAGCAGGUACGCCAGUAUUUGUGGAGUCGCCGUUGAAAUACGGCCCUUUGGUUGUUUGAGUUCUAACCCGCAGAAGCGGGGACACUGUAUGGUGGGUAGUUUGACUGGGGUGGUCGCCUCCAAAAGAGUAACGGAGGCUUCUAAAGGUACCCUCAGACCGAUUGGUAACCGGUCGCAGAGUGUAAUGGCAUAAGGGUGCUUGACUGGGAGACAGACAAGUCGAUCAGGUAGGAAACUAGAGCAUAGUGAUCCGGUGGUUCCGCAUGGAAGGGCCAUCGCUCAAAGGAUAAAAGGUACUCCGGGGAUAACAGGCUGAUCCCUCCCAAGA
rnacentral:rRNA from 1 species